CAGUCGCCACGGUAAGACGGAGGGUGCUAGCGUUGUUCGGAAUCACUGGGCGUAAAGGGCGCGUAGGCGGCCUGUUAAGUCGGAUGUGAAAGCCCGGGGCUCAACCCCGGAACUGCAUCCGAGACUGGCAGGCUUGAGACCGGGAGAGGAGGGUGGAAUAUCCAGUGUAGAGGUGAAAUUCGUAGAUAUUGGAUGGAACACCGGUGGCGAAAGCGGCUCUCUGGCCCGGAUCUGACGCUGAGGCGCGAAAGCGUGGGGAGCAAACAGGAUUAGAUACCCCUGUAGUCCCUGUCUCUUAUAC
rnacentral:rRNA from 1 species